GAGUCUGUAUUUCGGUGUCCGUGAUAGCUUGUCGAGACUUCACUCACCUCAGAUAUCAGAGUUAGUUUCUUCCUCGUUAGAGUGCGGAUUAUCCCUCUGCUUUGAAGUGUACUAGCAUUUUAGAGGUUGCGGAUUACCCUCUUCUAAACUGAUACUUCUUUUGUUACAAUAUUGGAGUCUUAUUCUUCUUGGAGAGAGUGG
rnacentral:lncRNA from 1 species